rnacentral:rRNA from 1 species
CAAUAGACAUGCAAGUCGAGCGAACAGAAGGGAGCUUGCUCCCGGAUGUUAGCGGCGGACGGGUGAGUAACACGUGGGUAACCUGCCUGUAAGACUGGGAUAACUCCGGGAAACCGGAGCUAAUACCGGAUAGUUCCUUGAACCGCAUGGUUCAAGGAUGAAAGACGGUUUCGGCUGUCACUUACAGAUGGACCCGCGGCGCAUUAGCUAGUUGGUGGGGUAAUGGCUCACCAAGGCGACGAUGCGUAGCCGACCUGAGAGGGUGAUCGGCCACACUGGGACUGAGACACGGCCCAGACUCCUACGGGAGGCAGCAGUAGGGAAUCUUCCGCAAUGGACGAAAGUCUGACGGAGCAACGCCGCGUGAGUGAUGAAGGUUUUCGGAUCGUAAAGCUCUGUUGUUAGGGAAGAACAAGUGCGAGAGUAACUGCUCGCACCUUGACGGUACCUAACCAGAAAGCCACGGCUAACUACGUGCCAGCAGCCGCGGUAAUACGUAGGUGGCAAGCGUUGUCCGGAAUUAUUGGGCGUAAAGGGCUCGCAGGCGGUUUCUUAAGUCUGAUGUGAAAGCCCCCGGCUCAACCGGGGAGGGUCAUUGGAAACUGGGAAACUUGAGUGCAGAAGAGGAGAGUGGAAUUCCACGUGUAGCGGUGAAAUGCGUAGAGAUGUGGAGGAACACCAGUGGCGAAGGCGACUCUCUGGUCUGUAACUGACGCUGAGGAGCGAAAGCGUGGGGAGCGAACAGGAUUAGAUACCCUGGUAGUCCACGCCGUAAACGAUGAGUGCUAGUGGUUAA